UACAGAGGGUGCGAGCGUUAAUCGGAAUUACUGGGCGUAAAGCGCGCGUAGGUGGUUUUGUAAGUCAGAUGUGAAAGCCCCGGGCUCAACCUGGGAACUGCAUUUGAGACUGCAUGACUAGAGUAUGGGAGAGGGCAGUGGAAUUUCAGGUGUAGCGGUGAAAUGCGUAGAUAUCUGGAGGAAUACCGGUGGCGAAGGCGGCAUCCUGGACCGGCAUUGACGCUGAUGAGCGAAAGCUAGGGGAGCAAACGGG
rnacentral:rRNA from 1 species